CCCCUAGUAACUGCGAGUGAAGCGGGAAAAGCUCAAAUUUAAAAUCUGGUAGUCUUUGGCUGCCCGAGUUGUAAUCUAGAGAAGCGUUAUCCGCGCUGGACCGUGUACAAGUCUCCUGGAAUGGAGCGUCAUAGAGGGUGAGAAUCCCGUCUUUGACACGGACUACCAGGGCUUUUGUGAUGCGCUCUCGAAGAGUCGAGUUGUUUGGGAAUGCAGCUCAAAAUGGGUGGUAAAUUCCAUCUAAAGCUAAAUAUUGGCGAGAGACCGAUAGCGAACAAGUACCGUGAGGGAAAGAUGAAAAGAACUUUGGAAAGAGAGUUAAACAGUACGUGAAAUUGCUGAAAGGGAAACGCUUGAAGUCAGUCGCGUUGUCCAGGGAUCAACCUUGCUUUUGCUUGGUGCACUUUCUGGUUGACGGGUCAGCAUCAAUUUUGACUAUUGGAAAAAGAUCAGGGGAAUGUGGCAUCUUCGGAUGUGUUAUAGCCCUUGGUUGCAUACAAUGGUUGGGAUUGAGGAACUCAGCACGCCGCAAGGCCGGGUUUUAACCACGUACGUGCUUAGGAUGCUGGCAUAAUGGCUUUAAUCGACCCGUCUUGAAACACGGACCAAGGAGUCUAACAUGCCUGCGAGUGUUUGGGUGGAAAACCCGAGCGCGUAAUGAAAGUGAAAGUUGAGAUCCCUGUCGUGGGGAGCAUCGACGCCCGGACCAGACCUUUUGUGACGGUUCCGCGGUAGAGCAUGUAUGUUGGGACCCGAAAGAUGGUGAACUAUGCCUGAAUAGGGUGAAGCCAGAGGAAACUCUGGUGGAGGCUCGUAGCGAUUCUGAHGUGCA
rnacentral:rRNA from 1 species